CAGACCUGUUUUCUGUGAUUCCCCAUGCUAAGACACUUCUGUAGAUGUGAAAUAUGCCUUUACAUACCGUAUUUCCGUUGUAUUCUACGGGCACAACCCUUACCUCUGAUAAUUUAUCUUCUUCCCAAAGCCAAUUCUGUUUCAUUAAGUGUAAUGACAGUUUAAUGCACAUUUCUCCACCCUGUUUACAGUAUUUUCAUUCAUCUGUAACUCUGCAGUGCUGGGACAUAGAGCUCUCCUUUUAAUCUGCAGUUCAAAGCUCUGCCUAAAUCUGUCAAUAUCGCAAAGGUGAAGGGUAGAGCUGAUCACCUAACAGUGACGGUUGUUACAUGUUGUUAGUUGAAAUUGGAAAUGAAAGCCAAGAAGAAACGUAAGAAAAAGCUGUGGCACAGCCAAAUGGGAAAGAAGCAAUCCACGAGAUGUUUUCUGCAAUGACUGUGAUGCAUGGCCACAUGGUCAAGGGCAGCACCACAGACAACGGGGAAAUGCAACAUGACCCUGUUUUUCUCAUCCACAACUGCGUAGGACUGAACCCAGGGAUUCAACAGGUCAUCUUCAGUCAUACGCUCUCACUUCACAGUGACAUACAAAAAGGCAGACUACUUCAAGCAUAAAAUCUCUCAAAAUGGUACUUCAAAGGAUUAUUCUACAAAUUGGUAGGGACGUGCUCAAAAGGUACAAGUGCAGAAUGGCUGAGCUGAGAGAAAGGACAAGCACAUGGCAAUGUGGCACUACCUUCUGCUUCUGCAGUGGGAAAUGAUGCAGCCUUGAAGGAAUUUCCAGGACAUAUGUUCCAGCUGCAUCUGCCUCCUUGUCCUCCCUCUGUUUCCCUGUCUUCCGUUUCAGAAUUUUGUUCCAGACUUCAAUCCAGUCCAACACACUGCUAAUCUCCUCUUUAAUAUCCUCUGUGCUUUAAAGCAGUAGUUCUGAGACCUUCUCAGAAGAUAGGGAAAUACCAUAAGCCCCAUUUUACAAAUGGGAAACAGCAGCUGAAGCACAAGCAGAAGUAAUCUGCUGCAGAACUGGGAUUUCAAUGCAUUUCUAAGAAUGGAGUGAUUCAAGCAGUAAGCACAAAGUUACCUUUCAUCUUGGAAUUCUACUGUCUGGACUCCUGCCCUAUCUAUAGUGAAAAGGAUGUAAGGUAAUCUUUAGACUUUUAAGGAUAUGAAUCUUCUGAGGUUCAAACAUAUCUCCAUUUGAAAUGUAGGCUAUCAGCAUCCCCAUUUUUUUGUUUGUUUGUUUGUUUUGUUUUGUUUACUAAAUUAGGAUCAGUCACAGAAUGCAAGUUUUUAUUAAUUUUGCAUUAGAUCACCUCCUCUUGUAAGGUUUUGUUACUUGCACUUCAGAAAAUAUCAGCUGGUCAUAACGGUUACUCAUUCUUCUUCAUGGCGAUGGUUGUAAUACGGGAUUCUACAUUUUCAUCUAUUUUGUCUGCAAUGGAGAACAGUGAGAUAUUUGAGAUCAACAGUAGUUGUUUCCCAGAUGUUACGAAUAUCUAAAUCUUCUUUAAGUCAUUUUCUAAGUACCUAGAGCAUUUAUAACUGCAUGGGUAAGAGAACAGGAGUAUAGCAUUGGACAAGAGACUAGGACCAAACCGGUACAAAAUAAACUGAAAUGGAUACUUUAUUAUGAGUAAAUGAAGCUGACAUAAAAUUUUGAAAAGCAAAGGUAGCAUUGGGAAAACCUAUGAC